rnacentral:rRNA from 1 species
GACGAACGCUGGCGGCGUGCUUAACACAUGCAAGUCGAACGGAAAGGCCCUGCUUUUGUGGGGUGCUCGAGUGGCGAACGGGUGAGUAACACGUGAGUAACCUGCCCUUGACUUUGGGAUAACUUCAGGAAACUGGGGCUAAUACAGGAUAGGAGCUCCUGCUGCAUGGUGGGGGUUGGAAAGUUUCGGCGGUUGGGGUUGGACUCGCGGCUUAUCAGCUUGUUGGUGGGGUAGUGGCUUACCAAGGCUUUGACGGGUAGCCGGCCUGAGAGGGUGACCGGCCACAUGAGGACUGAGAUACGGCGCAGACUCCUACGGGAGGCAGCAGUGGGGAAUAUGGCACAAUGGGCGGAAGCCUGAUGCAGCAACGCCGCGUGCGGGAUGACGGCCUUCGGGUUGUAAACCGCUUUCGCCUGUGACGAAGCGGGAGUGACGGUAAUGGGUAAAGAAGCACCGGCUAACUACGUG